AGAUUUGAGGGUGAUCUGGCUGUGACAUCUGUCGGCCCAUUGCUUGUGAGGGCUGAUUCAGCUGAUCUGGCUGGCUAGGCCUGUGUCCCUUUUUUCCUUCACCAGUCCAUGUGCAUCCCUCCUGAAACUGCACUCUGUCAGAGAGGAUGACUACUCUCGAUAGAGAAGAAUCAUUUUCUCAGUCAAGGACAUAGAAGUUUCCCAAAUUACUUUUGCUGUUCUAUGUCUCUUCUGCUUCCAAAUGCAUUUUAGGACUGUUCUCUAGUUCUGUGAAU
ensembl:misc_RNA 7SK 7SK RNA